rnacentral:rRNA from 1 species
CCUACGGGAGGCAGCAGUGGGGAAUAUUGGGCAAUGGUCGCAAGCCUGACCCAGCAACGCCGCGUGAAGGAAGAAGGCUUUCGGGUUGUAAACUUCUUUUCUCAGGGACGAAGAACGUGACGGUCCCUCAGGAAUAAGCCACGGCUAACUACGUGCCAGCAGCCGCGGUAAUACGUAGGUGGCAAGCGUUAUCCGGAUUUAUUGGGUGUAAAGGGCGUGUAGGCGGGAAUGCAAGUCAGAUGUGAAAACUCAGGGUUCAACCCUGCGCCUGCCUUUGAAACUGGGUGUCUUGAGUGCGGGAGAGGUAAGCGGAAUGCCGGGUGUAGCGGUGAAAUGCGUAGAUAUACGGAGGAACACCAGUGGCGAAGGCGGAUUGCUGGACAGUAACUGACGCUGAGGCGCGAAAGCGUGGGGAGCAAACAGGAUUAGAUACCCCAGUAGUC